AGUGGCGAACGGGUGAGUAACGCGUGGGUCACCUGCCCCGAGAUGGGGGAUAACCCGGGGAAACCCGGGCUAAUACCGCAUAAGCCUUAAGAGGGAAAGCCUUCGGGUGUCUUGGGAGGGGCCUGCGUCCGAUUAGCUAGUAGGUGGGGUAAGAGCUCACCUAGGCUACGAUCGGUAACCGGUCUGAGAGGACGGACGGUCACACUGGGACUGAGACACGGCCCAGACUCCUACGGGAGGCAGCAGUGGGGAAUUUUGCGCAAUGGGGGAAACCCUGACGCAGCAACGCCGCGUGGAGGAAGAAGGUUUUCGAAUCGUAAACUCCUGUCCGGAGGGAAGAAAAAAAUGACGGUACCUCUGGAGGAAGCCCCGGCUAACUCCGUGCCAGCAGCCGCGGUAAUACGGGGGGGGCUAGCGUUGUUCGGAUUUACUGGGCGUAAAGGGCGCGUAGGCGGUGGGAGAAGUUUUUGGGUGAAAGCCCCCGGCUCAACCGGGGAAGUGCCUGGAAAACCAUCUGACUAGAGUGCUGGAGAGGCAAGCGGAAUUUCUGGUGUAGCGGUGAAAUGCGUAGAUAUCAGAAGGAACAUCGGAGGCGAAGGCGGCUUGCUGGACAGACACUGACGCUGAGGCGCGAAAGCUAGGGGAGCAAACGGGAUUAGAUACCCCGGUAGUCCUAGCCGUAAACGAUGGGUACUG
rnacentral:rRNA from 1 species